rnacentral:rRNA from 1 species
AUGGGCGGCGAGAUGCCCGGCACCGACGGCAAGGGCCACCCCGCCCCGGCCUCCGCCUCCGCCUCCGGAUUCCCGCCGUCGGCGCCGCCUUAUCAUCAGCAGCAGCACCACCAGUACGGCACCUUCGGGGCCCCGUCCGCGUCCGGCGAGUUCCCGCAGCCGGCGGUCGGGUUCCCCCAGCCUGCUCCGCCGCUUGGGUUCCAGAACUACCCGCCGCCGCCUCCGCCGCCGUCCUACGCGGUAUACCCUCCUCUGCAGGCUUAUUCGGCCGCCGCGCCGUACUACGCCCAUGGCUACCAGGACGUGCAAGGCUUCACUUGCUGCAAUUGCCAUGUUGCUUGGUGCCACAAAAGGAGCAGAGGUGUGGUGAGCUGGCUUUGA